GACGAACGCUGGCGGCGUGCUUAACACAUGCAAGUCGAACGGAAAGGCCCUGCUUUUGUGGGGUGCUCGAGUGGCGAACGGGUGAGUAACACGUGAGUAACCUGCCCUUGACUUUGGGAUAACUUCAGGAAACUGGGGCUAAUACCGGAUAGGAGCUCCUGCUGCAUGGUGGGGGUUGGAAAGUUUCGGCGGUUGGGGAUGGACUCGCGGCUUAUCAGCUUGUUGGUGGGGUAGUGGCUUACCAAGGCUUUGACGGGUAGCCGGCCUGCGAGGGUGACCGGCCACAUUGGGACUGAGAUACGGCCCAGACUCCUACGGGAGGCAGCAGUGGGGAAUAGUGCACAAUGGGCGGAAGCCUGAUGCAGCAACGCCGCGUGCGGGAUGACGGCCUUCGGGUUGUAAACCGCUUUCGCCUGUGACGAAGCGUGAGUGACGGUAAUGGGUAAAGAAGCACCGGCUAACUACGUG
rnacentral:rRNA from 1 species